rnacentral:rRNA from 1 species
GAUGAACGCUGGCGGCGUGCCUAAUACAUGCAAGUCGAGCGAACAGACGAGGAGCUUGCUCCUCUGACGUUAGCGGCGGACGGGUGAGUAACACGUGGAUAACCUACCUAUAAGACUGGGAUAACUUCGGGAAACCGGAGCUAAUACCGGAUAAUAUAUUGAACCGCAUGGUUCAAUAGUGAAAGACGGUUUUGCUGUCACUUAUAGAUGGAUCCGCGCCGCAUUAGCUAGUUGGUAAGGUAACGGCUUACCAAGGCAACGAUGCGUAGCCGACCUGAGAGGGUGAUCGGCCAAACUGGAACUGAGAAACGGUCCAGACUCCUACGGGAGGCAGCAGUAGGGAAUCUUCCGCAAUGGGCGAAAGCUUGACGGAGCAACGCGGCGUGAGUGAUGAAGGUCUUCGGAUCGUAAAACUCUGUUAUUAGGGAAGAACAAAUGUGUAAGUAACUAUGCACGUCUUGACGGUACCUAAUCAGAAAGCCACGGCUAACUACGU